rnacentral:rRNA from 1 species
GAUGAACGCCGGCGGCGUGCCUAAUACAUGCAAGUCGAGCGAACGGACGAGAAGCUUGCUUCUCUGAUGUUAGCGGCGGACGGGUGAGUAACACGUGGAUAACCUACCUAUAAGACUGGGAUAACUUCGGGAAACCGUAGCUAAUACCGGAUAAUAUUUUGAACCGCAUGGUUCAAAAGUGAAAGACGGUCUUGCUGUCACUUAUAGAUGGAUCCGCGCUGCGUUAGCUAGUUGGUAAGGUAACGGCUUACCAAGGCAACGAUGCAUAGCCGACCUGAGAGGGUGAUCGGCCACACUGGAACUGAGACACGGUCCAGACUCCUACAGGAGGCAGCAGUAGGGAAUCUUCCGCAAUGGGCGAAAGCCUGACGGAGCAACGCCGCGUGAGUGAUGAAGGUCUUCGGAUCGUAAAACUCUGUUAUUAGGGAAGAACAAAUGUGUAAGUAACUGUGCACAUCUUGACGGUACCUAAUCAGAAAGCCACGGCUAACUACGUG